UACGUAGGGUGCGAGCGUUUAAUCGGAAUUACUGGGCGUAAAGCGCACGCAGGUGGCUGAGUCAGUCGAUUGUGAAAGCCCUGGGCUUAACCUGGGAAUUGCAGUCGAUACUACUCAGCUAGAGUAUGGGAGAGGGUAGUGGAAUUCCCGGUGUAGCGGUGAAAUGCGUAGAUAUCGGGAGGAACAUCAGGUGGCGAAGGCGGCUACCUGGCCCAAUACUGACACUCAGGUGCGACAGCGUGGGGAGCAAACAGG
rnacentral:rRNA from 1 species